CUUUCUCUUUUCCCUCUCCACCUGUACUUCACCCUGUUUUCCUGCCUUUCCUUUGACUAUUGCCUCUUUUCUGGUUUUCAGGCUUGGUCACAGUGGCAGGAACAGCUCCUGUAUGUCCAGAAGGAGAAACAGAAGGUUGUCUCUGCAGUGAAACAUCAUCAGCACUGGCAAAAGCGGAGAUUUCUAAAAGCCUGGCUUGAAUACCUGCAAGUCCGCAGAGUGAAGCGACAGCAGAAUGAGAUGGCUGAGCGAUUCCAUCAUGUCACUGUGCUCCAGAUACACUUCUGUGACUGGCAGCAGGCCUGGGAGCGGAGGGAGAGCUUGUACGCCCACCAUGCCCAGGUGGAGAAACUGGCCAGGAAGAUGGCCCUGCGGCGCGCCUUUACUCGCUGGAAACACUACAUGCUGCUGUGUGCAGAAGAAGCUGCCCAGUUUGAGAUGGCAGAAGAGCACCACAGGCACAGCCAGCUGUAUUUUUGCUUUAGGGCCCUAAAAGACAAUGUGACCCACGCCCAUCUCCAGCAAAUAAGAAGGAAUCUUGCUCACCAGCAGCAUGGUGUCACGCUG
rnacentral:sRNA from 1 species